rfam:Belliella baltica DSM 15883, complete genome.
UUUGCCGUGAGGCAUGCAGUGAAGUAAGCCAGACUGCGGUGUCUGUACUGACGAACAGAAACCAUAUACGGAGGCUAUGAGGUCGGAUGAGGUGACACAGCACACCGAAGUCCCAACCUUCCACAAGGAAGGAAGUACCAAAGUAGUAGAUAUGGCAGGGAUAGACACAAGGAUAUUCAU